rnacentral:rRNA from 1 species
UAGGGAAUCUUCGGCAAUGGACGAAAGUCUGACCGAGCAACGCCGCGUGAGUGAUGAAGGUUUUCGGAUCGUAAAACUCUGUUGCCAGGGAAGAAAGGCCAGGCGAGUAACUGCGCUUGGAUUGACGGUACCUGAGAAGAAAGCCCCGGCUAACUACGUGCCAGCAGCCGCGGUAAUACGUAGGGGGCAAGCGUUGUCCGGAAUUAUUGGGCGUAAAGCGCGCGCAGGCGGUUACUUAAGUCUGGUGUAUAAACCUGAGGCUCAACCUUGGGACGCAUUGGAAACUGGGUGACUGGAGUGUAGGAGAGGAAAGUGGAAUUCCACGUGUAGCGGUGAAAUGCGUAGAUAUGUGGAGGAACACCAGUGGCGAAGGCGACUUUCUGGCCUAUAACUGACGCUGAGGCGCGAAAGCGUGGGGAGCAAACA